CAGAGGGUAGCACGUUUGCCUCACAGCAAGAAGGUCGCUGCUUCGAGCUUCGGCUGGAUUGGUGUACGCUGAUGGUCUGCUGAGAAUUCUCCGGAGUUGAAGGGAUCCUCCUGUCAGACAACCUCUCCAAAGUACAAUAGGACUAGGUUCCCACUACAAGGAUUAGAUUUGGCUACUGCAGUCCCGGUUUGGGCCAGCCUCAC